rnacentral:lncRNA from 1 species
UGGGAAGUUGGAGUGCCAAAAGUUGGCGCCCCUUCAUCCCAUGAGACGUCCCCUGGUCCCCUAUUUAUAGGGGAUACCCCACAUGACUUCUUUCUAAGAUUUUUGGUUGAAACUAAAGAGGAAGGAUGUGGUAAACAUAAAAAAAAAUUUAAAAAAAAUUGAGGAAAAAGAAAAGAAAUUUUGAGUGGCAAAAGUUGCUAACAAAGUGGUGAGAUUUUCAGCAAGUGUUGCUUAAGUGCCCUAGGAUUUGAUUUUUUCAUGUGUUAGAGCCAAAAAUCAAAUCCUAGAUUGUAUAACAUCUGAAGAGUAUCUUUCUGAUAUCAUUCUAGUAGCA